rnacentral:rRNA from 1 species
UACCAGCACCCCGAGUGGUCGGGACGUUUAUUGGGCCUAAAGCAUCCGUAGCCGGUUCUACAAGUCUUCCGUUAAAUCCACCUGCUCAACAGAUGGGCUGCGGAAGAUACUAUGGAGCUAGGAGGCGGGAGAGGCAAGCGGUACUCGAUGGGUAGGGGUAAAAUCCGUUGAUCCAUUGAAGACCACCAGUGGCGAAGGCGGCUUGCCAGAACGCGCUCGACGGUGAGGGAUGAAAGCUAGGGGAGCAAACGGG